rnacentral:rRNA from 1 species
UACGGGGGGAGCAAGCGUUGUUCGGAUUUACUGGGCGUAAAGGGCGCGUAGGCGGCCACCGCAAGUCGACUGUGAAAUCUCCGGGCUUAACCCGGAAAGGUCAGCCGAUACUGCGGGGCUAGAGUGCAGAAGGGGCAACUGGAAUUCUCGGUGUAGCGGUGAAAUGCGUAGAUAUCGAGAGGAACACCUGCGGCGAAGGCGGGUUGCUGGGCUGACACUGACACUGAUGUGCGAAAGCUAGGGGAGCGAACGGG